rnacentral:rRNA from 1 species
GUAGGUGGCAAGCGUUGUCCGGAAUUAUUGGGCGUAAAGCGCGCGCAGGCGGUUCUUUAAGUCUGAUGUGAAAGCCCACGGCUCAACCGUGGAGGGUCAUUGGAAACUGGAGAACUUGAGUACAGAAGAGGAAAGCGGAAUUCCACGUGUAGCGGUGAAAUGCGUAGAGAUGUGGAGGAACACCAGUGGCGAAGGCGGCUUUCUGGUCUGUAACUGACGCUGAGGCGCGAAAGCGUGGGGAGCAAACAGGGAUUAGAUACCCGUGGUAGUCCACGCCGUAAACGAUGAGUGCUAAGUGUUAGGGGGGUUUCCGCCCCCUUAGUGCUGCAGCUAACGCAUUAAGCACUCCGCUGGGGAUACGGCCGCAAGGCUG